rnacentral:rRNA from 1 species
GAUGAACGCUGGCGGCGUACCUAAUACAUGCAAGUCGAGCGAAUGGAUUGAGAGCUUGCUCUUAUGAAGUUAGCGGCGGACGGGUGAGUAACACGUGGGUAACCUGCCCAUAAGACUGGGAUAACUCCGGGAAACCGGGGCUAAUACCGGAUAACAUUUUGAACCGCAUGGUUCGAAAUUGAAAGGCGGCUUCGGCUGUCACUUAUGGAUGGACCCGCGUCGCAUUAGCUAGUUGGUGAGGUAACGGCUCACCAAGGCAACGAUGCGUAGCCGACCUGAGCGGGUGAUCGGCCACACUGGGACUGAGACACGGCCCAGACUCCUACGGGAGGCAGCAGUAGGGAAUCUUCCGCAAUGGACGAAAGUCUGACGGAGCAACGCCGCGUGAGUGAUGAAGGCUUUCGGGUCGUAAAACUCUGUUGUUAGGGAAGAACAAGUGCUAGUUGAAUAAGCUGGCACCUUGACGGUACCUAACCAGAAAGCCACGGCUAACUACGUGCCAGCAGCCGCCGUAA